CGUGCCGCCCGUGCGCAGGUUCACCGCCACCGCCGCGCACCCGGCGAAGAUCAGGAAGAAGGUCCCGAAGAUCUCGGCGAGGAUCUGCACACCCAAAGCAGGGGCAGGAAUCACACUUCACACGUCGCAUUCACAUCGCAAGAAGGUGCAGGUGACCAAUCAUGCAAAGACCAGCUGUUGCGAGAUGUGAAUUUGGGAUCCUUCACCAAGACGACAUGACAAGGUGUUUCUGAACUACAGCAAGCAAAGAAGGCAAAAGAAUUGUAUUCCUUGGAUUGGAUUUUUACUAUGCCGCCGUGCGUUACAGUAGUAUUGUUCUGAAUUUGGCCAUUUCUCACGUGCAUCGCAGAUCCAAACAGAUGACAACUUCUUUCAUCUUGUUCUUUGCUUUGUCUGUUGCUCUGUUACAGUGUUUGGACACUAGUGUUCCAUCCUUCCCCCUCUGUCUGAAAUCUGAAUUAUUGAACCCACGGAUAGUUUUUUCUCAGGAAAAGAAAAACCCCUCUUGCUUGAGCUUUGCUAAACAAGCAAGAACCAUAGAUUCCUAUGACUAUCAUAUACAGAGCCAUGCUUCUAGAAUCGCGAUAAGAAACUCGAGAGCAGCCAUCAUGGAAGCAAGAAGCAUACCUUCUGCACGAACGGGACGGAGAACAUGGGGCAGCUGACGGCUCCAUCCUGCUCCGAGCUCUCACGGUAUGCUUCAUCUCCUCCUCGGCCUUCCUCCAUACUCACGGUGCUCUCGUGCAGGCCGUUUGCAAGCUCUGCUCCUGCCAUCUCUGCCUGCAGCAGCAGCAGCAGCAGCGGCGGCGAGCCUCCCCGCGUUGCAAGGAAGAGGAAGAAGAAGAUGAGAAGCAGCAGCUUGGUCUAAGCACUAUUUAUGGGGUCCAGUUCCAGCCUUCCAGGCUAGAUGGCGAGCUGCAUGAAUCCUAAAAAAAAUUAUCCUGAUUGGCUUCGUCGACUGACCAUGGAGACUAGUCUACUUGUAUGAACGUGUCCGGAAAUUCUGU